UUGCUGAAUAUUCUUUCACAGAUUCAUUCAAUAAAUUGAUACAUGUAUCAAAUAUCUACUAUCAGUAAAAAGGAAAAAAGUUAAUUAACUGUAACUUUUUUUGUAACAUUUGCUAGCUUUGUUAUUCUAUUUUUCAAACUUUUAGAUAACAUUGUAACUUUUAUUGAAUGUGAAAUGGAGAACAGGGAAAGGUUGUCUGAUUUAACAUUACUUCUGAAUUCACAACCUACCUAAAAGAGAGAUGAAAUUCAAAAUAAAAAAUGUUCAUCGAAAUUACGAUAAUAUUUAUUUAUCUACCAGUACAUGAAUCAAAACGCUGCAAAUGUUUGGGCAAUUCAUAUUAAAACUACAUGACAUUGUAAUUGUUUAUGAUUGGCCUUGUCAUUUAUAAAUUCUCAGCUUAACAAGUACCCUAUUUAUCACCCACUAAGGGCCUAAAAUGUCUUGUAUUUUAACAGAAUGAAGUUGAAUUUUGCAUGUUAAAACAAAAUUGGGCAAGAAAUUUCUGAAAGUAUAGCAGAUUGUGUGGUUAUUUUGGUUUUGUGUAUCAAAUCACCAAUUUUCGCCUAUUUUAAUAUAUAUAGCAAUCAUUGAAGCUGUCCUUUACAUUUAUAUGUACUUGUGGUAUAUAUUAUUUUGUAUCACAUAUCCCAUGAUCUGUGAUUUUGUUAAUGUCAAGAGUAUAAUAAUCAUAAUGUUUUCUCUGUUUAUGUUUUAGAAAUAUUUUUAUUAAUUAUUAAUAUAUUAUCGUUGAUUGUAUUGUGUGGUAUUUUAACAACUAUUUACACAGACACUGUUUUCUUUUUUAUUUCUUCAGCUGGACUUUAAAGUGAUCAAAAUGUUUUAUAAUCCAGACUUUAUUUGUUUAUUGUUUUCUAUCUGUUCUAAAUAAAUUUCUAUGUUUAAAAUUUUCAUCGACUUUUUUUUUAAUUAGUAGAGUACUGUCGGAGUUGCUUCUCUUUAAUAUAAGCUCUAAGUUUAACAAGCUAUUAUACUGCUGUGUACAAUAGAUAUUAUAAAGUUUUUCUCUAAUUAUAGAAUUUCAAGCAUUCAUGCAACAAAGUAAUUAGAUUAUUUAUAAAUCGGAACUGAUGGAUAUAAUAUAAUUUCUACAGAAGGUAAUAAUGCCAAACAAUUUAAUGAUAUAAAAGUUCAUUCUUUUUUUUAUUUUUAAAUUAAUGUGCAGACUAUUUGUGAUUACUAAGUCAUACAUGUAUAUAUAUUUCUAUUUUGUAUACUAGUAGAAAGUUUGAACUGAAUGUAGAGAAGUAAAUGACAUACUUCUAUCUAAAAUUAUAUGCUCCCAUCAUUUCCUUAUUUUAGAUGUAAAGGAAUUCAAGAGUGUGUAUACCAAUGUUCAAUAAUUGAUUAAAUAAUA